GUAUGCCAUCAAACCACCUAGAAUAAACCCAUCCCAUUGAUUUUGGAAGCAAAGUCAGGUCAAGUCUGGUUAGGACGUGGGUGGGAGACCAACAGGGCCUAUCGCUGGCAUUCA
rnacentral:rRNA from 1 species